UAACAGAAUUUGUUCUCCUAGAAAAAUUGAAGAAGAACAAGAAGAAUGAAAUAGUGGAGAAAAGGGUAUUUUUGUCAUUUAAAAAAAUGUAUUUAAAAGGACGAUUUUAAAAUCAAAUACAACAUUAAUAAUGAUUCUAAAUAAAAAUUUACUGACUCUCCCUCUC